AAACUUUCAACAACGGAUCUCUUGGCUCUCGCAUCGAUGAAGAACGCAGACA
rnacentral:rRNA from 1 species